rnacentral:rRNA from 1 species
AGUGAACGCUGGCGGUAGGCCUAACACAUGCAAGUCGAACGGCAGCACAGUAAGAGCUUGCUCUUACGGGUGGCGAGUGGCGGACGGGUGAGGAAUACAUCGGAAUCUUCUUUUUCGUGGGGGAUAACGUAGGGAAACUUACGCUAAUACCGCAUACGACCUACGGGUGAAAGCAGGUGAUCUUCGGACCUUGCGCGAUUGAAUGAGCCGAUGUCGGAUUAGCUAGUUGGCGGGGUAAAGGCCCACCAAGGCGACGAUCCGUAGCUGGUCUGAGAGGAUGAUCAGCCACACUGGAACUGAGACACGGUCCAGACUCCUACGGGAGGCAGCAGUGGGGAAUAUUGGACAAUGGGCGCAAGCCUGAUCCAGCCAUACCGCGUGGGUGAAGAAGGCCUUCGGGUUGUAAAGCCCUUUUGUUGGGAAAGAAAAGCAGCAGGUUAAUACCCCGCUGUUCUGACGGUACCCAAAGAAUAAGCACCGGCUAACUUCGUG